GUCCACGCCGUAAACGAUGAAUACUAGGUGUGGGGGUUGUCAUGACCUCCGUGCCGCCGCUAACGCAUUAAGUAUUCCGCCUGGGGAGUACGGUCGCAAGAUUAAAACUCAAAGGAAUUGACGGGGGCCCGCACAAGCAGCGGAGCAUGUGGUUUAAUUCGAAGCAACGCGAAGAACCUUACCUAGACUUGACAUCUCCUGAAUUACUCUUAAUCGAGGAAGCCCUUCGGGGCAGGAAGACAGGUGGUGCAUGGUUGUCGU
rnacentral:rRNA from 1 species